AGCAGCCGCGGUAAUUCCAGCUCCAAUAGCGUAUAUUAAAGUUGUUGCAGUUAAAAGCUCGUAGUUGAAUUUCGGGGUUAGCAGGUCGGUCGUGCCAUCGGUAUGAACUGGUCUCGCUGAUCCCUCCCUCUUGACGAACUGUGAUGCCAUUAAUUUGGUGUCGCAGGGAAUCAGGACUGUUACUUUGAAAAAAUUAGAGUGUUUAAAGCAGGCUCACGCUUGAAUACAUUAGCAUGGAAUAAUGAAAUAGGACGUUUGAUCCUAUUUUGUUGGUUUCUAGGAUUGACGUAAUGAUUAAUAGGGAUAGUUGGGGGCAUUAGUAUUCAAUUGUCAGAGGUGAAAUUCUUGGAUUUAUUGAAGACUAACUACUGCGAAAGCAUUUGCCAAGGAUGUUUUCAUUAAUCGAGAACGAAAGUUAGGGGAUCGAAGACGAUCAGAUACCGUCGUAGUCUUAACCAUAAACUAUGCCGACUAGGGAUCGGAUGAUGUUAAUUUUUUAAUGACUCAUUCGGCGCCUUAC
rnacentral:misc_RNA from 1 species